CCGGGUCUUUCGCAGACACCCGGUCCACAAGGGCGAUUUCCGUCUCAAGCGCUGC
rfam:Betaproteobacteria bacterium RIFCSPLOWO2_12_FTLL_65_14 rifcsplowo2_12_scaffold_794, whole genome shotgun sequence.